rnacentral:rRNA from 1 species
UACCAGCACCCCGAGUGGUCGGGACGAUUAUUGGGCCUAAAGCAUCCGUAGCCGGUUUUACAAGUCCCCCGUUAAAUCCAGCUGCUCAACAGAUGGGCCGCGGAGGAUACUACAGAGCUAGGAGGCAGGAGAGGCAAGCGGUACUCAGUGGGUAGGGGUAAAAAUCCGUUGAUCCAUUGAAGACCACCAGUGGCGAAGGCGGCUUGCCAGAACGCGCUCGACGGUGAGGGAUGAAAGC